rnacentral:rRNA from 1 species
GCAAGUCGAGCGGUAGAGAGGAGCUUGCUUCUCUUGAGAGCGGCGGACGGGUGAGUAAUGCCUAGGAAUCUGCCUAGUGGUGGGGGAUAACGUUCGGAAACGGACGCUAAUACCGCAUACGUCCUACGGGAGAAAGCGGGGGACCUUCGGGCCUCGCGCCAUUAGAUGAGCCUAGGUCGGAUUAGCUAGUUGGUGAGGUAACGGCUCACCAAGGCGACGAUCCGUAACUGGUCUGAGAGGAUGAUCAGUCACACUGGAACUGAGACACGGUCCAGACUCCUACGGGAGGCAGCAGUGGGGAAUAUUGGACAAUGGGCGAAAGCCUGAUCCAGCCAUGCCGCGUGUGUGAAGAAGGUCUUCGGAUUGUAAAGCACUUUAAGUUGGGAGGAAGGGUAGUAACUUAAUACGUUGCUAUUUUGACGUUACCGACAGAAUAAGCACCGGCUAACUCUGUGCCAGCAGCCGCGGUAAUACAGAGGGUGCAAGCGUUAAUCGGAAUUACUGGGCGUAAAGCGCGCGUAGGUGGUUUGUUAAGUUGGAUGUGAAAGCCCCGGGCUCAACCUGGGAACUGCAUCCAAAACUGGCAAGCUAGAGUACGGUAGAGGGUGGUGGAAUUUCCUGUGUAGCGGUGAAAUGCGUAGAUAUAGGAAGGAACACCAGUGGCGAAGGCGACCACCUGGACUGAUACUGACACUGAGGUGCG